UACGGAGGGAGCAAACGUUGUUCGGAUUUACUGGGCGUAAAGGGUGUGUAGGCGGUCUUGUAAGUCAGGGGUGAAAUCCCCGGGCUUAACCUGGGAACUGCAUUUGUGACUGCAUGGCUGGAGUGCGGCAGAGGGGAUGGAAUUCCGGCGUGUAGCAGUGAAAUGCGUAGAUAUGCGGAGGAACACCGAUGGCGAAGGCAAUCCCCUGGGCCUGCACUGACGCUCAUGCACGAAAGCGUGGGGAGCAAACAGG
rnacentral:rRNA from 1 species